AUGAGCCACCACGCCCAGCCUUUUUUUUUUUCUUAUGUUAAAUAAACAACAAAGAACUGUGAAAUAAAAUAUAUAACAAUACAAGGAAAAACAUGAGAAACAGUUUUAUUGGAAAUAUUCUAACACAUUUUCUGAACAAAUAAUCAAAAAAUAAAUAAGGACAUAGAAAAUAUGAACAUAUAAAUUUCUUACCCUGAAAACAAACAGUACACCUUCUUUUCAAGUUUCAUGGACAGUGGACAAAAUUAAAUAAUUAUUAAGCUACAAAGAAUAUUUUGGUAAAUUUUGAAAAGUAGAAAUUCUAGAAACCAUUCUCAGAUCAAAAUGCAAUACAACUAACAAUAAUGUAAAACAUACCACUUAGAAAUUUUGAAACGUAAGUAGCACCUCAAAUUAUCCUUAGGACAAGAUGUAAAUCAAGAGUUAAAAAAAUUAAAAAACAGACGAUUUAGAAAAUAAUUUAAAAAGUAGGAUUAACAGCCAAAGCUAUAUGCAGAGGUAAAAACAGCAUUAAAUGCUUUUAGUGUCAAAAAUAGAAGAAAAAUGAAACGAAUUAAGCAUGCUUGCAAGUUGGGAUUUUGGAAAGUAGUAUAAAAACAGUUCCUCCAAAAAUGGGAGAAAUGGAAUAUUUGAAAUAGAAAACAGAAAAAGCAAACACUCAGAGGCCUGAGAGGUGGUGGGAUGAGUUUUCUGCCUGUGGACAGAGACACGCUUGGAGGCAUCCCCGCGGGCUUGGUCCCCUGGCGUGUGUCAUCAGGCCUGUCCCCUCUCACUCCUCGAGCCCCGCCUGGUGUCCUCUCCUGUUCCCAGGGCUGAAGCUCCUGUGUCUGUGUCAUCACCGCAUCUUGAACAUCCUGUGCCUUGAUUGUGGCACUCUACAGGUUUCUCUACAACUAAUUCUUUUCACUUAUGACUCACUUACUAGUAGACUUGACAGGACAGGAACCAUGUCCUGAUACUCAUUGGAUCCACAGGGCCCGGUAGGCAUUGAGUUCUUAAUAGACAUUAUGAGUGGAAGAAAAUGAGCAGAUGGACUCAAGCACUGAUUCCUGAGUUGCAUCUGGCCCCAUUGCCCAGCCACAGGCUGGAAGCCCAUGUCCUGAGGCCUGGAAUGAAUUAGUCCAACAAUAAGAGGACUAACUAUGCAGGAUCCACCUAAUAGAUUGUUAUGCAACCUAUAAUGGCUGUGUUGACAAUGUCAAUAAAAUAUGAGGAAGUGGGGCUUUGAUUGUUUUUCUUUUUCCUUUUUUUUUUUUUUUUUUUUUUGAGAUGAAGUCUCGCUCUGUCGUCCAGGCUGGAGUGCACUGGCGCUACCUCAGCUCACUGCAAACUCCGCCUCCCGAGUUCAAGUGAUUCUCCUGCCUCAGCCUCCGGAGUAGCUGGGAUUACAGACACCUGCCACCACACCCGGCUAAUUUUUGUAGUUUUAGUAAAAACAGGGUUUCACCAUAUUGGCCAGGCUGGUCUCGAGUUUCUGACCUCAUGAUCCACCCACCUCGGCCUCCCAAAGUGCUGGGAUUACAGGCAUGAGCCACUGCACCCGGCCUUUUUUUUCUUUUUUUUUUUUUUACUUUUUUUUGAGAUGGAGUCUUGCUCUGUCUGCCAGGCUGGAGUGCAGUGGCAUGAUCUCGGCUCACUGCAACCUCCGCCUCCCGAGUUUAAGCGAUUCUCCUGCUUGGGCCUCCCAAGUAGCUGGGAUUACAGGCGCCCGCCACCAUGCCUGGCUAAUUUUGUAUUUUUAGACCAUGUUGGCCAGACUAGUCUGAUUUUUUUUCUUAUAUUUCCUCUUUUUACUGAAUAAUCAAAGAUUUCUUGUGUGAAAUGGAAAAUAGUCUUCUCCUCAAGUCCCAGUUCAAACGCCAUCUUCUCUGAGGACCGACCCUGAUUUCUCCAACCAGAAACACUCUGGCCUUUCCUGGGCUCCCAGAGCACCUGCCCCUCCCUCUGGUCUCUUACAAUUUCUGCCUUUGGUUAUCUGUGUCCUGCCAAGGGGCUGUCAGCACCCCAUAGGCAGGGAGACAUGGGUUUGCUGUCA
rnacentral:lncRNA from 1 species